rnacentral:rRNA from 1 species
UAAGGAAUAUUGCGCAAUGGGCGAAAGCCUGACGCAGCCACGCCGCGUGGAGGAAGACACCCCUAUGGGGCGUAAACUCCUUUUAUAUGAGAAGAAUGCCUUGGUCGCCAAGGAGAGACGGUAUCAUAUGAAUAAGCACCGGCUAACUCCGUGCCAGCAGCCGCGGUAAUACGGAGGGUGCAAGCGUUGUCCGGAUUCACUGGGUGUAAAGGGUGUUCAGGCGGAGCAGACAGUCAGUGGUGAAAGCCCGUGGCUUAACCAUGGAACUGCCAUUGAUACUACUGCUCUUGAGUACUGGAGAGGCUACUAGAAUUCGUGGUGUAGCGGUGAAAUGCGUAGAUAUCACGAGGAAUACCAGAGGCGUAAGCGGGUAGCUGGACAGAUACUGACGCUGAAGCACGAAAGCGUGGGGAGCAAACAGGAUUAGAUACCCGUGUAGUCC